CGUUAGCUUGUGGGGAACUUUUUUGGGAAAAGAAAGACUGAAAACAAAGUUUACCGGCGAAUUUCGCCGCGGAAAAUGACGAGAAUGAAUUACUUUUUUUCUGUUCCUGUGGAAACUUUACCUGCUUACCACUGUGAAACUGGAGGGGUGUAUAUACAUCGUAAUGAGGUAAGACUGGUCUCAUUUGAAAGAGAAGGAUGUCCUGAUGUGUUCUGAUAUAUGAUAGUGGGGUGGAGCUAGGUGACGGCCUCUUAAGCUUCCUCUUUUCUACUGGAGUCGUUCAUGUCCAUAGCGCGUUUAAAACGUGCAUAAAGUGUCUAAAAUCUUUGAAAAAUAUUAAUAUAGGUCAAUGAAACAUUAAAAAACAACAUUUUAGACAUUCUCUAACCCCCCCUGUAGCAAAAUCAGAAAAAAAAAUCUGUUGUUUCAUAUCGUCCUCGUGAAGCUAGAGGCUGGAGAUGAGAGCGAGAGACUCAUGCCACGGUCUUGCCCGCACAUAUGCGUGCACCGGGCUGUUCACGUGGAGGCUUCACCCAGUGAGGCGGCAGACACUGUCCAUUCUAUAUACAGUCUAUGUUAAAGACUAUGAAGGCUCAUUGUUGUAGGUGACAUGACAACUCAUUUAACGAUGGCUCUAAGGUGCUUUGGUGCCUACAAAACUGUGUAAAAAGGAACACCCUCUAUUUGUGACUGACUUUAAAUCAGCAGAGAAGCAGCCAAAACAGAAUAUUCUGGACAGUGGUGGCUGCAAAUCAUGCAAAGCCACCCUCUUAGUGUCUCUGACUGACAGAAUAAGAGAAGUAAACAAGUAUUAUCAGUCUCCUUCAGAAUAUUUUCCUUUUAACAUCUCAGAAAGAUCAUCUUUUAUUUACAUUAUGUAAAUAAAGUAAAGUCUUUUCCACACACCUAUGCCCAAGUAUCUAACUUUGACAGUCAGUUGGGAGAUAUUAAAAAUUUAUGCCAACAGCACAUCUCACUUUCUUGGCUUUGCAAAGCUCUGUGAACACAAGAAAAACCACUGCCAACCUUCAAGUCUUGCUGGAUUUGUGACACUGAGCACAGUAUGCAGAGUAGAAAGCAGGAGCUGGGUAAACAUCGUCAGAUCCCCAGAAAAAAAAACAGGCUGUCAUUCUUUCUGAUACGUUAAAACCGGUAAUGGAUCAGACUGUUUAUUUUUUGUACCCCUGGUUUUCUUCCUCUCUCUCUCUCUGUAUCUGUAUUCCUCUCUGUGUUUCACUCUGUAUCAGGUUUUUUUCAGAGGUUGGUAGGUCAUUGGUUAAGUUGUUGAAUUCCCCCUUCUCUCAGCAAAUGAUUGAGACAUGGAGGAGACACUGAAGUUCACACACAUACAUGGAGGGAGAACUACCAGGCUGUUAGCAAGUGGAUGGGAGUUUGUCCGCCUACACACUCAGAAGACCAAGAGAUGUCUAUGUGUGUCUGGGCCUGGCUGAGAGGCUGCUGGCUUGCUCUACUGUAGCAGGUGGCGAACAUUUUCCAUUUACAAGAAAAAUGCACAAAGUGUAGGCAGCAGAGAGGAGGUGCUGUUAUCUAUUCCUGCAUCGCACGCGGCUGAUCUGAUCCACUCUGUGGCAGCAUGACAGUCACGUUGUAUGGAUGCAGUUAACUCUGGCACAAAGUGUGGACUGAGGUGUAUUUUUAAACAAUAUGAAGUAAUGCAAAGGGAAAAGAGAAAAACUAACAGAACUAACUCAGCCAGAAAUUGGGACCAUUUUAGAAACUCUUUCAAAAUUAAAUCUGUCUGACUAAGAGAAAUUUCAGAGCAUUUUUAAAUGCAAAUAUUUGUUAUGGAGCAAUUAGGGCUGCAAGGAUUAGUCGACGUCGACGAAAAUCGAUAAUGAAAAAAGUUGACAAUUAAUUCCAUUGUUGAAUAUUCACACAUUUUUUUUCCCAGUAGAGUGAGGCAUCUUACUUCUUUACGAUUUCUGCCUAGAGUCAUAUAUGCGCAAUAGCAUCUCAGCCAAGUGGAAGGGUAUUCAAACAUGGCAGCGCCGUCAUCGCAUACAGCGCUUAAAACCUCCAAAGUUUAGGAGCACUUUAAUGUAGAUAAGGCAAAUAUCUGAAAUUUAAGAAAAAAUUCAGAAUUGUCUGAUUGGUCAACUAAUUGUUUCAAUAGUCGGUGACUAGUCAACUAUUAUAAAAGUCGUUAGUUGCAGUCCUAGGAGCAACCCCUCUUUCUCAUGUUGAGUAGUAAUCAAGCUAACAGCUAAUAUGGAAACCUGGUUCUCAUGGGGAUCCAUUUUUCAAAACCUAAAAAUCACUAACAUUUGAGUUCACUGAAACGGCAGUUCAGUCUCAUGGACCCCACAUGAACACAUCAUGUCAAGUGAAGUCACUUUGAAUUUUAGAUUCUGGAGCAUUUACCUUUAAUGACACACUUUUACUGUGCUUUAUUACCACGUGACUGAGAGCUUACCUGUACAGAUAGAGAAGUACCAAAGAGAGAGAGGCAGAGAACAUGAAGGGAUUUCUCUUUAGACUCUGAGCUUUUUAAAGUUAAGAGCUCCUUUUUUGUUUGGGAUUUUGACGCACUUGGCUGAGGAGCUAAUGAGCCCAUUCUUCUGAAUUGUUUUAUGAUGGCUGUAUGAUAUCUUCUAUGGAUAUGGAUUCCAUGUGGGUCCUUACAGAUAAAUACUGUACUUCAAUAUUUUGGGGCUUAUGUAACAUCUUGUCCUUUUACUUUAGAUUUUCUUUUGAACAAGCACAAUCUUCAACCUAUUACGUCUACCUGUGCAUCUCCUUUUUUUUCCAAUAAAUGACAAUCCUUAAGGAAGAGGGUUUCAACUUUAGAUAAGAAGCACAUGCUCGGUAUUGGCUCUUAUCAGCGUGACCCAGAAAAGUCUUGGAAAAUUCACGGGGGCAUUGCCCUGAUUUAGCUUUAUUUCACAUGCAAGACCAGUGAAAAUAUGAAGGGCGAAAAAAAAUAAGAAGGGGGAAAAAUGCAUGGAGAUGGUCCCUGCAUUCAUCCAGGAAUUGCAGUAUUGGAGAUAUUAUGCAAAUUGUGGAGAUUAUUCAGCCAACCCUUGGUUUCCAUAAUUAGGAUUAAGAUGGGACUUUGGAGAAUUCAUGGUCUCUAAGCUCAUCUUUCAUGGGAAUUGAUUGCCUGUACAGUUGACAGAAGUCGUAAAGUAAAAGCCUUGUUGGGUCUUGACUGUGGCACAUAACAGCAUUAUCAACGCAUGGAGUUAUACUGUAAAGGAAACACCAUCUGGGGUUGCAUUGUAAAGUAAAGACAGGGUCUGUGUAAGGAAGGAUUAUGCCUAUUGACCAGAGGCCCCAAAUGUAAGUCCUCUGUCCCUGUGUGCAGCUUUAACACUGCAUUACACCAAAGAUAGGAGAUAGGCUGCAUGCAUUUGGAAUACUGAAACAAAGACUGUAACUCCAACCCAGUGCAAGAUUUAGAUAUUCGGUCUGUCCCAAUAUGUAAGCUAUGAUAUGCAGGUGGUGGGUCAUUAUACCGUGAUUAAAUUCAGAUGGUCCCAAGCACUGUUUGAAGGGGAUCAAUAUUAUUUGUGGACCUCUGCUCAUUUCUGAUAUACCCCCUGAUGUCAGCUAGGGGUGGAAAUCACUAGUGGCUCCACGAUACAAUAAUAUCACGAUACUUGGGCCACGAUUCAAUAUCAUUGCCAUUUUAAACAUUUUGCAAGACAGUAAAGUAGAGACCCUCUUAUAAAAUUAACCCCACACAUUUUGUGAGAUGCUGAUUCAGACUAGGUGAACAGUAUUUGAGAGGACCUCUGGAUGCUCAGUCUGAAGUAUAACAGGUGAUUUUAUCUGAAAUGUUUCUCCCUAAAUUAGACAUGGUAGAUUUGCACACAGAUGAAGUCCUGUGGGUGAUACUAAUCCCACAGGUAUGGGGCUUAAGCAGUGACCUCACCUGCUACCUGUUUAUUAUCUGACUUGUUACUACUCAAGCUGUGACUAAGUAUUUGAUCUCGUCGUGUUAGGCGUACUUUCCCUCUUUCAUGUAAUGUGAGGGUGUUUGCGUCCAUAUCCCAGACUCCAGCCGACUCUAUCAUCACCACAACUGUCACAAUCAUGCUCCAGUGUUAAGAUUGACAAUGAAAGAUGACACGGGCCUUUCUGUGUAGUUGAUAUUUACACUAAACUGAACACUGAUGCUGAGUAAUGUCGAUGAUGGGCCAAGCGCGUCCAAUCCCAAAAUGUGAUACGCUUCAGUGGCUGAGGUCAUUACCCUCGGAUGGAGCACGCUUUUGAAAGCACUUUUAAUGAUAGGGGCUCUGAUAUAAUCCACUACAAAGAAAAGAGACGUUGUUUUACUGUCAGAUAGAGUUGUUACAGCUAGUUGAUUUCUCACUGAAUACCAUUUUGUUGUCAGUGUCAUGUGUAGCUUUGAUUUACAAUAAAGGCAUACUGCUCACACUGUCAUGGAGUUAGAGUAAAUAUAUCUGCAUUUGAAAGUGCGGCCCCCUCUGUGUUGUACCCCGCACUGUGUUUGGGGAUAAGGAAAGCAAUUUGUUUGCUGAAACCCGAGGAGCUUUUAGAUUGUGGUAUUCUUCAUGUUUAACAGUGUGAAGCAGAGAUACGUCUUUGAUCCUGAAAUAAUUUCAUGACAAAAUAUCUUUUGACCCUGAAGCGUGGUUUGAUGGAGAUAUUUGACCCCCCUGCUAUUUCGGGAACAGCUCCUUCCUGUGAAUGCUGAUGUGUUAAGUGACAGCGUGAUUUAACAAAGCAGGCAUCCACAUCACACAUCGCUCAAAAGAACAGAUUUAGUUUUUCAUCUUUUUUUUUUUUUUUACCUCUAACACCCCCGCCCCUUUUUUUCACCCCCUACUCCCACCACCUUCCCUUGGGCACUGAGCGCUGAGAUGGAAGUAAAGAUGGAUGAUGUUGUUUUGAACUGUGACAUGUCUCCAUGCGAGUCAUUUCAUUAUUAUUCAUAAAUAAUUGGCGGGGACGUCUAAGGAGGCUAUUUAAAGAGCUGAUUGCUGUAUUGCCAAUGUGCGCUAACUCUGAAGGUUUUAUUUAUUUUCUUUUUCUAGUAUUUCCCGCUGAGAGCCAAACUUGGGGUCUAUUUUCAUGAAGCUUCUAAUAUAGCACUUGACCUUUUGUUGAGUUUUGUUUGCCCCCUCUCUCUCUCUCGUACACACAGACACACACACACACACACUCUGCUUGUGUGGUCAAUAAAGAUACAUGUGUAAGAUAUUGAUUCCAGCUUUUUGAUCUCACCUCUUCCAGCUGAAGUCUCUCCAACAGUUUCGAGCUGGAGUUUAAUUAUAUCUAAUUCUCUCUCACUGGCAGCCAUAUAUCAACUCCAUCUCUCCACUAAAGGAUCUUUCUCCCACCUAAGUUGAAAAUCAAUAGGGACCAGUGAGGCAGGUCUGUCAUGGUGCAUUGGACAGAGGUACUGUUGAUUUGUUCUUCCUGACUGUAACAUCACAUACUCCAUUAGUUAUAUAUUGGCACAUGUGUGUGUGCGCACCUAGAGAUACCUGUGGUAGUCCAUGGGUGCGACAGAUAUUUGGUACACCUCAGGGUGGCAAAGGUUCAUCAUGAUUUUUGAAAAGACACAUGUCUGUAGAUUAUAUUUUUGUAUGAUAACCUUUCCAGGUGCCCAGCUAAAUAUUGGUUAUCAGCUCAUGAAGUUAACCACCCUGUAAGAUAAAUUCAAUUUUUUACACUGGUGUAUAUCUGGUUUAGGCUCAUGACAGGGACAUUUCUCAAAGGUUUACAAUAGACUGUUUGGUAUCAUUUUAAAGAGGACCCUUGUGGCUUUCAUUUAAGCCUAUAUGUGCUCAUCUUAGACCAACAUGAAAGUCACUAGAGCUCUUUAAAUCACAAAAAAUACAAAUUUUCCUGCAAUAUUUUCCUACACGAUAUACUUUCUUUUGGCCGUAUGUCACCCAGGGACAUCAGGGAUUCAAGAAUUACAAACUGCAAUACUAACCAAUAUUUAGCUGGGCACCUGGAAAGGUUAUCAUACAAAAAUAUAAUCUACAGACAUGUGUCUUUUCAAAAAUCAUGAUAAACCUUUGCCACCCUGAGGUGUACCAAAUAGUGAAAUUCUGGCCCAUAGCCUAAGGUACUCAGCAUGGUCAGUUAAAUCUUGAACAGUGUCCUUGAAGGUUAAAAAAUGUGAAUGGAGAAAAGAAAAUGUAAGAAGUUUAAGCAGGGAGUGGAAAUGAGGAAAUAAUCAGAUUGGAAACAAAAGAGUGGAUUAUUUAGCCCUUGUGGUUCAUCAGGAUAAGCCGGCAGCCUUCUGGUGAAUAUUGCAUGAGAGUGUUAGAUUAAAACAGAUGAAAGCGAAGCAGCAAAGUUGUGCGUGAACAUGAUGUAGGUUUAAUUUCACAUUGUUAGAGGGGUUCAGCUUUUAUUGGAGUAUGCAAUUGGAAUAUGAAAUGCAGUUUUUAUUGUGUUAUUGCGGAGCAGCAGAUAUAAUGCACCUCGCACAUGCAUGUGGGAUUAGGCAGGUGGAGGAGAAGGCAGUAUGUGCCACUGGGCUUUCACAAUCAGCUGCCUCUGUAAGGUCAAGCUUUCUGCUGAUUCAGGAUAUUGGGGCGUGGUAUGAUGAGCUUGCAGGAUAAAAAAAAAAAAAUACAGCAUGACGAGGGGAAGGGCCAAGCCCAUCUGCAUGACAAUACAGAAUUUAAUUUCCUACACGUGCUGCGCCAGGGCAUCACUUUAUAAAGUGCUUCAUUUCCACUGCAGCGUGACAGCAGGGCAACAUGGCUGGAAUGCGGGAUGAUGAAGCUGUGUGGUGGAAACAGUCGGUUGUCAUUAGUAUGCAGCGCUGAGCCGUCUUGUCUAGCUGGACCUCUUGCAGAAAGUCUCUCCCCCUGAACAGCAGAUAAAUUGUCUGUGGUGAAAUGAGCAGAUGAGGCAAAUCUGUGCCCUUUUCUGCACAAGGAAACUUUCUCCCAUGUUGUCGGAUUUGUUCCACACUCAGCAGACACAACAGUCCCCCAAAAAAGAGGAGUUGAAUGAAAAUUAAAAGGGUCAAAGUUGAACUCCCGUGUGAUAAUGCCAUGUGAAAGAAACAGAGAGACGGAUAGGACCUUAUUAAGACCUGUGCUCUUGCGGAUUAGCUUCCAACUCCUCAGUGAGUUUUAUCAGAGAGGAGCCUUCGAGCAUGACCGCAGUAAUGAACCUAUUAGCCAUGAAAUUGACUUUUCUGAUAAAUAAGGAACAGAGGAGUGCAGGGGACCAUUUUUGCAUUUCAAGCCUUUUGUUUGAACUCCAUAAUUACAUUUUAACACUACCACCUUUUUUUUCCAUCUGCAAGUUUUGUUCUUGGCUCCCUCUCAUAAGUACGCUGCAGAAAAAUAAUUGAACAAAUUUUCCAGGUAGAAACAUCACCGGCACACUGUAGCUAGUGUUAAAACAGAGUCCAGACUUGGACAAAUAUGAGAACACUCACAUUCAAGGCUGCGUGUCUGCAAAUGACUCAUAAGCUACAGCAAACUUCUCUGCAUUCUGAAAUAACACUUUAAUCAACUGCUGUGAUGACACUCAAACUUUAAGACCUCAUGGUGCAAAUGUCUGCCUUUAAUCACUGCUUGAGGAUGAAUGUGAUUUUCCAUCCCGCUGAAAAAAAAUGACAAGCAGACAGUCAUUUUGAAAGUUGGACAAGGAGCAGCACUGAGUCUCCUGCUCAAACGACAUGUACGAAGAUUUGUCACGAGGUGGCACAGACGAUUGAUCACUUUCUCAUUUAUCAGAAUCGAUUUUUCUUUUUGUCAUAUUACCAUCAACCAAGGUUGUUCAUCAACUAAGAGGUUCAAUGAUGACUUUCUGCCUCUCAGGGGAACGUCCUCUGCUCCACCCAAAAGUGUAACGACACCAAGUGUACAACUUUUUCACUCUCAUCUUUGUGUCUGUUACACCCCCUUGUCAAUCUCCAAAUUUGCACCUGUUUUUUCACUGAAUAAAUCGAAAGCACAUACGGAAAAGGUGGAGGUCAAGUGUCUGUUGUUGACAUUAAAAGCUGUUUUCAUCUUGUUUUGAAUAAAGCAACAUGAGAGUCAUGCAGUUUAUUGAGGAGUUAGAAAUAUUUCAUUCUUUUAAAAUGUUUACUUGGACCCGAGUUUCUUUCUCCUGCUAGUUUUGCACCACCAUAUUGCAUAUACAUGACUGUUUAAUUGAGAAAUAUCCAAAUCCAAUUGAAGCUGUAGUUUUAUCCUGAUUAAAGCUUGAUCAAAGGAGUCAUUGUUAUCCUGAUUGGGCCAUUUUUCCAACUUCAAUCUUUUAACCCUGUUGUUCUUGUCAGGGUUAUCCUAACAAGGCAGACAUUUGUCUCUGUUUCUAUUUUAUCCAGAUACUUUGUGUGUCACCCUGUCUGCUCAUCUGUGCAUCUGUUCUCAUAUCUUUCCUUGUAUCUCUCCUUCCUUUCUACUAUCUUGGUCCGUCAAGUUGUGGCAGAUGACCUUUCUGCGCGGUUCUACGAAAUGGUUCUGUCUGUCAAAGGAAGUCUUUUUUUGACUUUGUUAUUAGGUACUUUCUAUUAGUGGAUUUAUGUUGUCUUUUUUAUGAUAUUGCAAAGAGUACAUGCUAGAUUAUUUUUUCUGUUGAUUAUCAUGAAAAACUCCUUAUAAGGCACUUUAAGAAGGAAAUUUUGACUUCUUCUAUGGACAAUUUUGACUUCUUCUAUGCAAUUCAACCUCAUUGUCCUACACAACCUGAAACAGGUACAGACCAGGUACAGACCAGAUAAUCACCAAAGAGCUGGAAGUUCGAGAGUGUAAAUUCUCUAUCAGGAUGCUGAUAAUGUCUGCAUGUGGUUUAUUUAUAGUGAAAACACUGAAACUUUAACAUUAGAAAAUUAGUUAAAAGUUUAAGUGAUACAAAGGUAAGAUAGAAGCAAAUGCAGCGAACGUUACCCAGACCAUUUAGUGUUCGCCUUAGGCACAGCUGAUAGAUAAAUGAUUUCAUCAAUAUCAAACGGACAAUUUUUUAUUUGGACAGAAUUUUUAGUUCAACUAACGCACAGGUCUUAUAGUAAGAAAUCACCCUGAAAACAGUAAAAAUUUAACAUGUUAAAUUAAAUAAGACUGAAUAAGGGAUCACAGUGUCUGAGGAUGAGCUCUGUCAAAUUUUGCUGUGUGUGGCUAAUGUUAGCAGAGCUAGCACCACCAUCUUUGUCUAUGUUUACGUCCACAUGCCUGUGCUAGUUAUGCACAGGUCUGAUCAAGUGGUUGUAAGCCAGUUUAAGUGAACACAGUAAGCAUACGCAUUUAUCUCUUUCUGCUAGCUCAAAAGAUUUCUACAUUGCACUGUGCUAUGUGGUGCCAUCAUCUGUUGUUCUUAAAGACCCACUUGAUGAAAAUCAUGUUUUUUCUUGUCUACAUGUUCAUGUGGCAUUUUUCUGAUGCGACAGGGCAUAUCAUGAGAAAACUAAGUGCAAAAUUGCAUUUCUGAGUAUUUCUUGGCAGACUCAAACACUACGUUCAGAUACAGUGGGAUUUCCUGCGUAGCAAAUCCAAGCUCCACCCCAGGAACCCCGCUAUGCAGGCCACACUCAGAAAAACAGAGAAGACAAUUGCGACACGAUUGCAGUGCUUGGAAGAAAGCUAAUUAUAUUAGUUUUCAUCAUGCCCCAAAAGAUAUUUGAGUCUGAAGUUGAAGAGCUCCUGUGUUACCUGCCACUUCUUCUACACCAGCAAUGUUAGGCUGCAAGCUAGCGGGUGUGCAGAGCCGCGCUGUCUCCACCCACGACUCAGAGGCAAAGUGAUGAUAAACUACUGGAGCUCUGCAGAAGAAAAGCCCUUAAAAAUGACACAGGUAAUGUGGUUUUGGCUGAAAACUUGAUAAUCACAACUUAUAGACCACUGAUCACACUUUAAGUAUUAAAAAAAAAACACUAUCGGAGUGGGACUUCAACAUUAUCCCACACUUGGACCACCAAUACAUGUGAGCGUCACAGUUAAAGAAAUGCAUAAGACAGACGUUGAGAACGGCAACAGGAAACUGUAACUGCAAAACAGUUAAGAUACCUCCAAAACUAUAGGCAUAACAGACUCCUUCAGACUGCUUCACAUAGGGACCGUUUUCGACAGAAUCCAUGGCAUUACUAUGGAGAGCAUCAGGUACUCACUGAAACAGGUGGUUUGGAUAUUUCAUUGGCUGUGGAGUAGAAUACCAAUGAACAUCAACUUUAGUGAAAAAAACCUCCAGACAAUCUCAGUGUUUACAAAAUAGCCCAGCACACUCUCCUAUUUGCAUGGAUAUCUUGUGACAUCCAAUCAACAUAUCCCAUUGUGCUGGGUGUCAGACCCCAGUUGAUUGAUUGUAGUUCUGCUUUGCACCCCUCUGCUCAGGGCUCAGCUCUGCAAUGACAGAAAGGACACGCAGAUGAAUAAUGCAUGUCUCUAUCAGCCCAUCUCACAAGCACAAUGCUGAGAGAAAAAGAGAUAGAUAGAUACGGGAUGAGGCAGAUGGACAAGGAAAGUAUGGGAGAUAUUCCAGAGAUGAUAAAAGUUGGGCUCUGAAUGAGACAUUUAACAUAAUGAUGACAAUCUCUCCUAAAGUGUCCAAGAAAUGUGCAAUAAAACCAUAGAAACCAUCGUCUUUCAUUGAGUUAGCUACAGUCCAUCAGUAUGAUAGAAGGGAUUCUUUUUAGAUUCACUGUGAGGUUUUAAAAUUAAAAAAUCCUAACACAGGGUGAAGUGUCUGCACUGAGUAAUCAAAUUAAAGGUCUCCAUUAUUCUCCAAAGGUCUUUUCCUCUUGCUCUCAGAAUCUAUAAAUUGCAGGUCAAAACCUAGACUUGCCAUUUGCACCGAAACGAAAUAACUAUAGACCCUCUACACUAAAGAAUUAAUACCUUGAAAAGAAUUCAACAAUGUUCAUAAAAUAGUGUCAUGGACAGUGCAGGAUAGGGCCUUUUUCAUUAACCUGGCAAAGAGCCAUAAUAGCUAAAGGUCUAAGGCCAACAUAUUGAAUUUGUAUCAGUUGCUCUCUUUUUGGAAGGGACUUCAUUACACUGCAGCUUGUAUAUCUCUGGUAAAGAGUAGGAAAAGUGAAGGAAUAAUGAUUCAAAAGGGCGACCUAUUGUGUGAUCCAUCUUGUGUGAAGGGUCUUCAUAAUUACGACUGAUUAAGAUGCAUGACUGGAAAUAUCAAUAAAAUCAAAGCCAGACUUCACCAAUGAACGGCUGAUGAACAAUUUUGUAAAUUCAGCGAAUGCUUAAAAUAACUAAUCACACUUAUUCUUUGAACAAAUCGAAGUCUCCAUUGUGUUUUUCCUGAAGCGUUUUUGCCUUUUCUCUGAGAGAGUUCAGUAAGACUUGGAUACUGCAUAGGGUUUAUUUUUACAACAAAAUCUAACCAGGAGAGCGGACGCCUAUUAUGCACAGAGAAUGAAUCUCAGAAUCACAGCUGAAACAGACUGACCACAAUGUAAAAGUCCCAGACAAUAAUUACUCUUUUACCAGCUAUUGUAGGCCAGUUGCAGGGAAAGAUUUGAAUAUGACCCAGUUUGAGGAGAUUACUUGCGUUCUUCUGACGUCACUGUCUACAACGCUAGAGGCCUGACAGCUUCAGCAUGAAGGGAAAGACAUCUGUGAAGAUUUCAGGAGCCCACUGCAGAAUGCAGAGUUUUGGGAACAUGUCCAAUUGAAGGCUCUCUCAACCUAAACAGCACAUCAAAAUUAAAGUUCAUGAUAUCACUGGACUGUCAAUGUGCUUUUGAAAUCUUGGACAGUUUAGCUGAUUGUCAUAUCUGAUUUCUCUGUAGUUUUGUACCUCUAGUUUUAUGUUGUACCCACUUGACCUUUUGUUUUUUUCUCUUUUAACUCACUGUUUGAAUUUGUAUUCUCACAAAAGCCCCACCACUGACAUGCAGCAAAUAGGCAUUGGCUGCUGUGUCCAGUUAGUCUAUUUAUUCUGCACAUGUCCACAAUAAAUCAUUAAUGAAUAAAUGAUGCAUUAUUGGAUGUCAUUAUUAAUUAAUACUCACCUGUGUAUUUAAUUAUGAUAACAAAAUUAUCUCUGUGUACAUAAGUUUAUUGACCCUUUUUUAAUUAUUACUGUGGCCAGUAUCUGAGGCUAUAACUGGCUUGCUUAGACAAGCCACAUGGGUUGUUGUUGUUGCUGUGAUUUAUUGCCCAGGGAUAGACUCAGCCUGAAAUUCUCCAAGGAAAGGAAGUCCUCCUCUCUGCAGCAACGUAAGGAAGUGGGUUUUGUGGACUUUGUUUCAGGACUGGGCUUUUAUUCCAGUGAUACAGUUGUUGUAAAAAUAGGUUGAUCAAGAUGAUAGUUAAAAAAAAAAAAAGAGUCAUUGAGGCAGAUUUGAAAAAAGCGUUCCACCCCCCGCACACAAACCUCUCCCCUCUGUACUCAACGAUAACGAUUUUUGGCGUCCUUUUCCAUCAUAGCUCCUGUAGCUAAGCUUCUACACCACUUUUAGCCGUUCAGAGCUCCAAGGAGGGCCGGGAGAGUGGGAGGGGACAAGUCAGAACUACAGGAGAGGGGUGUGUCGAAUACAGCAAGGUGAUUGGAUGGAGAGUCAGAGCAGGAGAUUGACCAAUAGGAGCUGUCCAGGACGGAUGGCUCCCAUUGGUCAAUGUUUUUGCAGCCCUGCAUCUGAUAGGGUGAAUAGAUUUUUUCCAUUCUUUUUUCUCUUUACUUUAUGGAGAUCACACUAUAGGACCAUGAUCGCCAUAUAAACGAGGUUUAUAAUAAUUACCAACCUCUCCGAUCGUCCACCAUGCCUUUAAUUCAUCCCACGGUGGUGAAAUUUGCACUGUUAAUAGCAGCAAAGGAUCAGCAUAUCAAACAUAGAAGAAUAAGUGUGCAUGAUGAGCCUCAUAAUCAGCCUCAAUAAUUGCAAUGAUGACUUAUUUGGCAGCCCCACUUUGGGGAGUGACUGUGCAAAUAUGUGACUUUGUGGCUUUUGAGGGAGCUAAAAAAUGAGGUCAUAGAGACCAAAAGAUGAGGUGCACUAAUCAGCCCGACAGAAGCUGCUGUUGUCUAACAUCCCAGAGCCUUUAAGCACAAGCUAUUGCUAAUGCAGUCAGAGAAAAAAAAAAUCUGUAUUUGCUGCAUUUGUCUUGAUUCUGUCGUUCUGAUUGCCCGUUUGUUGUGGGAUAUAUUACAAUGAUAAAUCAGCUGGUUUUUAAAGUUAACUUGUGCUCACUGCCCUCAUUGAAGUAACCAUAUUUACCUUGAUUGAAGUCUGUUUCCCUGAAAAGACACAGCUCACGUCGGCUCAGUAUUGGUAGUCUGAAGAGUGAAAUUUAAGACAUCUCCCUGUCCUUGUAAAGUGUGCUGCUGGUUGAUGAAUUUCACGGUGUGUUCUUGUCCUUGUACAUUGAAUCCCAUCAUUUCUAUAUUCCCUUGAGGCAGCAAUUAGCCCUCAGUCUGUCAGCAGCUAAUGGCUUUCUAAUUGAGUCUCCACAGGUAGUGUACCUGUUUGUGGAGGUUAAAUUGGAACAAAAUUGGCAGGACACAGCACUCCAACAUAUUGUAGUGACUUCUUUUAUUUCACACCCAAGAGAGAGCAGAGGGGCUGAGGAUCUUACUUGACACGUGUCACCCUUGGUCUGGUUUUCUCCCUCAUGCUUCACAUUUAGUGUUUCAGGCUGUUCCGCUCUGACCCUUUUCUGAGCCAGACUGGCUGCAAAGAACAUGAAAGGUAAUCUCCACUAAAAACACACCAUAUCUAGAAGCAUGUGAGCACAUGUGUUGCAUGUGCACAUGCACCUUUUAAUACCAGUGAAAGGUUUGUGAAGUGCAAAUAAAUCAUGUGUCAUGGUUACUCACACCAGACUUUUGUUCUGGUUAGCAAACUCAAAUAGAAACAAAAGGAUUAAAUUAAAUUAUCAAUUUGGUUUUCUGCAUGAAUUUUAUUUGCACAGCGGCUAACAUCGCUGCACCAGAGCUUUCUUUGCAGUUUUUACCAAACAUGUCCAUCUUGAACUUUUCCUCGAAGCGUCUCAUUACUCCUUACAACACAUUUCUCUGCACUCUGCUUUUUCAGAGCCUCUUACCACCCCCAAUCUUCUUUCCAAUAUCCCACUCUGAAGUCCAUUUUCCACUUUCCAUUAUCAUUCCCUCACAGGGCCCUCUUUUUACAGCACACUCGUCAUCUCCAUCUAUUUGUGGCUUUUUAAAAGCCUCUCUCUUUUCUGACCAGACUGAAGGACACCAGCAACAUCACCAAUAUCAACUGAAGAUUUUCACAUUGAUCCUUUUAUUUUUGCUGUUGAAUCAUUCGGCCAUCAUAUCUCAUUUCACCCAUCUUCUUGUCUCUUUAGUCAAAUCAGCAGCUCUGUAUUGAUCAGUUUGAAGUGAAUCAGUACCCAAACAUGGACUCUCACUCUCAGUCUGGUAAACCAAGAAAGGAUUAUUGAUCCAGCUGCUCAUCUGGCAGCUAACUGUUUUCAUGUUGUAUGUGUCGCUUGUUGUUUACUUGUACAAGGUGUUGUGCUACAUUGUUCUUUGUGUUUUAAUUUUACAAAAAUAUAAAUGACUAAACAUUAGGGAUGCACGAUAUUUAUCGGACCGAUAAAAUAUCGGCCGAUUUGGGGGGAAAUUACGUCAUUUUUUAUCGGUCCGAUAGGUGCAUUUUUCCGAUAGAAAGAUCCGAUAUAUUAAUGAAAUUACGAGUAACGUUUGCAGGCGGAGUAGCCGCCCGUCCGAGACGCGCUGGUUACGUCAUCUAUCGUGCCUUACUCGCAGGUCCCAAGCCUGACCCUGUCACUACCUGACAGAUAAUAAAAUGUCUUCACCAGCAUGGUCGUUUCUCUCAGUGGCAGAAGAUGACAACAGCAUUGCUAUAUGCAAAACCUGUUCAGCGAGGAUUCCGAGAGGAGGAAAGAAGACGUCAAGUUUUAACACAACGAAUCUGAUAGCUCAUCUGAAAAGUCGCCAUCGCGGUGAAGCGGUAGUAAAAGAAUAUGAGACAGCCGCCGAAGCUGCUAGCGGUACUAAAGCUAAGACAACAACACGACGGAGGAUCGAUGUCCCCAUUCAGCAGGCGUUUAAGAACUGCAAAAGCUUCUCAAGAGACAGCGAAAAGGCUAAAGCCAUUAACGACAAAGUGAUGGAGUUCAUAGCGGUCGACGACCAGCCUUUUUCCGUCGUUGAGAACCCGGGUUUUCGUAAGUUCAUAGCACACUUGGAGCCACGUUACACUCUCCCAAGCCGCCGCUUCUUCUCGGAUGUGUCUCUUCCUGCACUCUAUGAUAUUGUCGCCACAUACAUUCACAACCUGAUCGACAAGAACGGACUACACGUGAGUUUUACCACAGCCAUAUGGACGUCAGAUGUUAGUCCGGUCAGCAUGCUAAGCCUAACGGCUCAUAAUGGCUCCUUUUACAGUUUACAGUUCUGUUUAACAGUUCAGGGGAUCAAAUGAAGUUCUGCUUUUUGCUCUGUUAUUGUUAUUUAUAGCAAAUGACCAUAUUUGAAGAGCCAAAAACUUUUCUUUGUUGUUCUAGAUGGGCCAGAGCAACAAAAAUAUCAGUUUUCAAUCGCUGCAUCCUGCACAAACUGCAGAUUAUAUGAAGAUUAUAAUAAAUGUAAAAAUAUGAAUUUAUCGGUUAUCGGUAUCGGUAUCGGCCAUGAGAAGAAGAAAAUUAUCGGUUAUCGGUAUCGGUUGAAAUUUUUCAUAUCGUGCAUCACUACUAGACAUUCAUACUUGUGUCGUCUGCUAUAAAACAUUAUGAAAGAAGUGUACUGGCCAAAAAACUGCAGUUAUGCUCCAGAUCUUUUCAUUUGAUUUCAUAAAAGGACAAAAUAAUAGAGGCCUAAAAACUGGAUUGAUAGAGGUCUCUCUCUCUUUCCACAUAUCCGUCUAUUUUGACCCAUUCAGUCGCAAAUGCCAGUUCACCAGUGAGUCUGCUUUUCUGCCUCCGUCUAUUAAAAAGGUUUUUUUUCCUUAACACUCUUACCAGCUGUUGAGUCGUUGUGAAUAACACAACAAAGUACUGUCUAGACGUGCUCUUUUUUAAGGGGACUUAGUUGUGGCCUGACACUAUAUAAGCAAAAGUGAAGCUUUUACUUUCAAUUGGUGAAAGUUCGUGUGAUCUGCUUAUCACACUCUUGUACGCAAACUUACACAGUUUAGGUUGAGUCGGUGCUAAAAAUGAAAAGCUGCACCUUAGAUUUUCAGUCAUUAUAGGCUGGGUUUCAACCUAGCAGAGGUCAUCUAAGUGCAGUAAUUAGCACCUCUUUUAACAUAUUUUGUUUAAUAUAAACAUGCAAGUAUGAGCAAAAUGCUUGCACAAUGUUUCAUUCAUCCAUCGGUCUAUCAAGCAUUUUCUUCCAAUUAUACGGAUCGUGGUCCUGGUUGCAGCAGCCUCUACAAGUCAGCCUAGACAUCCUUGCCCGCAGCCACAUGUCCUGGCUCCUCCUGGGGGAUUCCGAGGGGUUUCCAGGCCAGAAAGGACAAGUUAACCCGUCCAGCAAGCUCUAAGUCUAAAUGGGGUCUCCUCCCAGUUGGAUGUACCCAGGGAACCUCUAUGGAGGAGUCCAGCAGGCAUAAUCAGUUGCCCAAACCACCUCAAUUGGCUCCAAAGGACCUAACAGCUUGACUCUGUGCCCCUUUCAGUUGUAUGAGUUCCUGAUCCCAUCAUGAAAGCUGAGCCUAGCCACUGUUCUGUGAUGUCAUUCUCUUGGCCGCUGCAAAGCUCACAGCCACAGGUGAAGGUUAAAAUGUAGAUCGCCUGGUAAAUCAAAAGGCCCAGCUCCCUCCUUUAUGCAGCUAUCCAGUAUAUCAGCUGCAUUGCUGCUGUUGUAGCACCAACCCCUCUGUCAAUCUCACAAUAUAUUUCACUCUCCCUAGCAAAAAAAGACUUUGAGAUAGUUGAACUUCUUCACUGGGGGGAAAAUACUCACUCCACACCCAGAGAAGUAAUUCACUGUUUUCUGAGGAGGACUACUCGAGAGACCCUCUGAAGAAUUGCCACCUCGACAUGGUGAAGGGGUUUCAAGUCCCUGAGAACCUGUUUGCUGUGCUUUUGUUGGCACUAGCACCUGGUAGGUUCUCCCAAGACAAAUUGGUCCCAGGAGAGGUUCUUUUAAGUCCCUCAUGAGUCACCUUCCCUGGAGAAAUGACUCUGGAGUUUCCACCGUGAUCUAGCAGGGAGAGAGCCGGGACAGCAAGUGUCCUUUGACCAGGCUUUCCCCGAUGCGGCCCUGUCAGGCUCAGCCCUGAGGGACAGUCAGUGUUUUCACACAUGCACUAAGUUUGAAUUAACAGGUGAGCUGCAUGUGUGAACAUGCAGCAUUUCUCACUUUGACUUUUCCAGGAGUAUUUCCCACCAGGGCAUAAUUUCAAGGUAAGAUCAGGGUGAGCUCAUGUGAGAGCUCACCUGGAAAUCUCCGGGAAAAUUGUCUCCCGGCUCAGUGAGCUCAGUGAGCCAGCAGGCAGAGGUGAUGACAUUUAUGUCAUGCGGUCGGUGUUCUGUCUAUUUUUGCUGCUUUGUUGAAAAAUCCCACUUUUGCACAGAUCAGUAGCAGAGGUCACCAGUUUAUGCAAUGUAUUAAUGCUUUCAGGUCACAAACAUCCAGGUGUACUGUGAGAAUAAGGCAAGCAUGUUUGUAGAACCCAAAUAUGAAAGUUUAAUGUAAGGUUUCUAGUGAAGUCUAUCUCAAUACACCGCUACACCAUCACAUCAUUUUAUAGCACUCCUCCACUCUCUCCAGAGUAUGUUUGGUUCUCUAUUACAAAUUCAGUGGAUGGCAAGCACCCAGGAUUCUAGUUUUAAGCAGGAAAAAAAAGUAUUCACUGCGUUUACAUGCACAGUUUAACUAAGGACUAAGCUCAUAAUAUUUUCGCCUUGUACGUGUAUACAUGCAGCUAAGAAAUUAUUGACAUGAAUUAUUGACUUGAUCGUGUCCUCCUCCCUAAAACUAGGGGGCGAUAUGGCUCCCUUCAGCGACCUUGUUUCCGGUUGACCCCAUACAACUGUCAACAACAACAGCAGGUCCAUGCCAGACAUCAGAAGUGUCUACAACUGCUGCUGGGAAUUUUCGGGCAAGAAGUUGGAGCAUCGUACAGCAGUGUUUUUGUCGUACAUGAUGUACGCGCUACUUCUUCCUCUCCCUCCCCUGGUUGGGAUACGGAGAGUGCUGCGAGAUCAUACACCCCAAUAAAAAGUUUGACAUUUGAUGGACUUUAGAGGUGUGUCCUCACUGAAUCAUCCUAAUAGGCUGAGGACAUCCCUAAUAAUUUAUAGAGCAUGUGACUCAUCACAUUUCUACCCACAGCCUAUUAUUAGAAUUAUUCUGUACACGUUUCCAGGAAUCAGAAAAAGGCUUAUUCAUUUCUUUUUUUGGCCACAGUGUUGUACACGCUGUCCCCAUGUUGACAUUUUAUGUCCGGGUUAACGCAGCUAAUUGCCUACUCUCUUGUCUGGCACAGGGCUAUUUGUCUCCUUCUGUAACAUCUAUUAAUUAUGAAUAAAAUGAGAUCUCGUAGUGUCACUGCUCAUAUUUCACCUCCUACUCACACCAUUCUGUCCGCCGGGCUGCUGCCUCCUUUUUAUUACAUCGUGUGAAACUCUUAUGCAGACCCUGCUUCCCUCUCUGAAGAAAACGGUUUGAAACAGAACAUUUUUCUACACAGGUCUUUGGCCAUUAUGCACCGCUGAUAAUUCUGUGUUUCUUGAAGUGUGUUUUUUAUUUUUUUAAUGGAAUUCACACAUACAACCUCCUGCUUCUGUAUCUCUUUCCCACUCAUUUUGCUCUGAGCGGUGGAGCAGAAAAUAAGAGUGCACUGUAUUGUACCACGAGAGUGUGUGUGUGUGUGUGCGCGCGUGUGUGUACGGGGGUGUAUGUACUUGUACGUGCUCAGAGUAGGUGUUGUUUCAGAGAUAUGUGCGAUUAUGUGCAUGUGAAUUAGGCAGCGCUUUCAGCUGUCUUUUAGGGACAUCUAAUUCAUUUAUUACCAGUGAUUAGAAAAUCUUCUUCUUCAGGGGGUCAAACAUUUAUAUCUCCCUGCCUGUGCUUUACAGGUCACUGAAAUUAUGUUGGGCUAUGAUGGAAGGGAGGGCGACUGCACAUGUGGCUGUUUGUGUGUUUCAGAGUUAAUGUAAAGAGGUGCCUGAGUGUGUUUGGAGGGAGGGAGGUGAGAGAGAAGGAGGAGGACUGUGAAUCUAUGAUUAAUGCAGCAUUGCCCUUGUAUCUUUCAGAGAGGAGAGAGGACGGAGGUGAGGCUAAAAGCAUUAGCAUUCUGCUUGCGUUCCUGCAGGAGUCUGCUUUGCCCCUGUACAGAUGCUCCGCUGCCUUUCAGAUUACCGAACAGACCCUUCAUAGACACUGGAGUCUGGAUGCACACCAAACACCUGUUUUGAGAUCCACUCCAUAGUUGUCAAUCUACUUUAAUUUGUUGAUACAGUUUCAUGGUGUAAGCUGUGUUGUCUUCAGACAGCUCUCAUUCCGAUACUGUCACACACACACAACAUGAGCUGCUCUCAUUUUUCAUCCUGAAUGUAGCAGCUCUGUUUUAAUGGGCCGGGGAAGUAAAACAGUUCUUCCUUCCACUCGAAAGGUUGCACAAGGACCUGAUUUUGAGCCGACUUCAAACUCAUCACAUAUUUAAAUUCUUAACACCAAGCUGCGCUGCCAAAAGCAUUUUGGGUGUUAUUUGAAGCUGUGACAGAAGGCACUGUAGGGUAACUGGUAUGCAGAGACGGAGCUCAAGUAGACAGAAGAGUUGCUGCUUGGCCUGACGGUGCAACUUUUGACAUUUCUAGUUCUGUGCUGGGUUAUAAUUCAGAAAAUGAGCACAGCUACCCUAAAAACAAACUCUGUCACAAACUUUAUUUCUGUACAAAAGAAGUACCAACUAGAUUUGUGCACACUGCAGACAAAGGCGUCCCAAUUUAGUUUGUUUUGCCCUCAAAAGUGACACAGAUUUUGUUGUGAGCAGCAUCCUGGAAGCAGCAUUUUAGUACAAAUAGUGAUAGAUUUUUAUUUUACACACAGAGAAAUCCUUUCUUGAUUUAGUGACCUGACCUUGAACACACCAUUAAUCUCUUUCUUUGGUUGCUUUGAUUCUGAUGAUUUUGACACAGAUCCAAACAAUGAAUUUUUAUCUUCAACAAACAAGACUUACAAGGUUGGGUGAUUACUGUGGCUGCUUUGUGAAGUGAAGGGUGACCCUCUUGCAGCAGCAGCAGCCAAAGACAGCAGAGCGUGCCACAGAUUUGUUGAUCUACAAUGAUGGUGUUCUUCUUUGGGCGGCAGGAGCUUAGGAGGUGGAGCGGUCAUCCAAGAACUGGAAGGUUGGUGGUUCGAUUUCACCCUCUCUCUAGUGUUGAGUCCUUGGACUAGACACUGUUGUAUGAUUGUGAGUGAUGUUUGGUGGCGGUCAGAGAAGCCAUUGACAACAAUUGGCAACAACGUUUCUGUCAGUCUGCCGCAGAGCAGCAGUGACUACGAAGGUAGUUUACCACCACCAGGGUGUGACUGUGUGAGUGAAUGAACGAAUGAUGUAGCUAAUGUAACGCAUUUUGGGGGGCGCUGAUAAAGUGCUGAAUAAAAUCUGAUGCAUUAUUUAUUUAUUUAUUUUUAAUGCUGCAGAAGUUUUAUUCCCCUCUUGAAAGAAAUUAUUUUAGGACAUUAGUCACAUUCUCCAUCUUCCUCAAGUCUUGCUUUGGUAAAUACAGCCUAGACUUCCUGGAAACUGUUGCAAUAAGCAACUUAUCACCAAAAUUCUUCUUUUCAAUAAAGUUUCAAUUAAAAACUGUAAUAAUCAACCGUUGUAUGUUUGUGCACCAGCGAUUUGAUUUAACUCUGGAUAUAAAGUUCAUUGUAGGACCUGUGAGACUAAAUAGCAGAUAAACUCAAACUUUUUGGGGUGUUAAAAGGGAAGAACAGCAUUUUUAACACAACUGCAUUUUGAUCUCCAUAUAUAAUCAUGAAAACAACUUAAGUACCCAAAUGAACAAUUAACAUUUUUCCAGAGCGCGCAAUCAAGGGUGUUUUUGUGUUUAUGACCACUGUAGAUUAAAGACUUUUACAUCAAGUUUCAUCAGAAAAUUUCAAAUGCUUGUUAUCCUGGUAAAUCGGUAUGAUUGUACCAAAAAGUGUUGGAGUACUUGAACUCGUAUAACAGGUGCUGGUCAGAGGAAAAUUCUCAAAUUGGGAAAAUCUGAGUUGGUUGCUGCUAAGCAUUAAUUUUUAUAAUCUGUUAUUAGAGAACCAAGCUAGAUGAGACAGAAACCUGAUACAGUCAUUGCUCCAAAAAAAGCUCUUAGCAUUUAAUAGAAAUGAAAAAACAACAACAACAAUGUGUCUCUAUAAAUUAUGCUGGAGGAUUAUAAAUACACUAAAACAAAGUUAUUUGAGUUAUUUUAAAGAGUUUGAGUUAUAUCCUGACAGAGUUGUAGAUCUAAGCAUAAGAACGGGAUUCAUGUUGUAUGUUAUAGCGUCUUUUAAUUGCUCUGUGUUGUCUCCCAGACUGUGAGUUUCUCCCGGUAGCAACAUUUGUGUCAAAAGAAGUGAUUGUUUGUCAUGCCAGUGGUGUUGUAGCUGUUUAAGCAUGUCUUUUUGAUCCAUAGAGCCCCAGUGGUCCAGCAGCCCUCGUAACAAUCGAUUCCUGCAUUUGUGUUCCUGUGCUUGUUGUUGUCCUCCUCUUCCUCCUCCACUGGGCAGAGGAAAUGUUUGCACACACAGCUUGUUUGGGUAGUUAUUUCUGCUCUGCCUCAGGUCACAUAUUGAACUGAACCUGCAGUAAUAAGUUUUUCUACUGUGUCUCAGACAGGAGCUGCUGAUUGUCUCUGGCUUUUUUCUUUUUUAUGCCAUGGGGGUGUUUUUUUUUUUACUUAAUAACAGCCAUUAUUUACAAAUGAAAGUCGGUCAGCGUCAUAAGCCUGUGUUGGACUUGAUAUCCUUUUAUAUUGUGUUUUACUGUGCGGUUUUGUAAAGUAUCAUAUAGUAUUUUGUUGCAGUUUAUGGUAUAGUAUCUUGACAUAUUGUAAGUUACCCUGUAAUUAUCACCCUCAUUCUGUAAUCACUCAUUUAAAGGGGUCAUAGCAAUGAAACCACUACUUAAAACAAUACCAGGUACUGGUCCGGUUUCAAAAAAAUACAAUGGUGGACAGUUUGAUUGCUUCAACUGGCUUUACGCUCCUCUAACACUUUAUCAUCCUGACCUGGUGUUGGCAACAGUAUUAUCUUUUUGACAGCUAUAUAUUAUAUAUAUUUAAAUGUAAGAAUAAUAUGCAGGUUACACAAAUUUCACUCCCAGUUUGACUCACUGUAUCACUGCUUUUUGACUCCUCCUUAUAAUAACAGUAAUCCUGCACUUUGCUUCUGAAAGGCGUUUUGAUUCUUCAGCUGAUCAGAUAUUGUUACAUAUUUCUAAAUGAUUGUCUCGCAGUUUGUCAGUCAAAACAAAAUCUUUAUACUGGGCUGUUUGAAGUGUAAUGAGCAGUGGUUCAGGUAUCGUAUUGAAUCCUCUAGUUUCAUAUUGUAUUGUAUAACUUCAUAUCCUGUCAUAUCAUAUAAUACAUAUUGUAUUAAUUGUAUUGUAUAGUAUCUUAUGGUAUUGUUUUAUAUGAUAUCAUAUUGUGUUGUAUUAUAUCACAUUGUUUCAUGCUGUAUCGUAUUGUAACGCAUGGCACCAUAUCCUUACUUAUUGUAUCAUAUAUCUUAUCAUUGUAUCAUAAUAUAUCCUACUAUAUUAUAUACUAUUCUACUGUAUAGAAUUGUGUUGUAUUGCACCUUAUAUUAUAACAUAGCCUAAUGUGUUGCAGUGAACUAUAUCUUAUCAUAUCAUGUCACAUUGAGAUAUUAUGUAAGGUCUUGUAAUACAUCCUUUAUAAUCAGAAACCUUGUGCACAUUUAUUAGGGGUCCCCAUUACAGAGUUUUUUGGCUGUAUGAAAUGGUUGAGAUCCUUGAGGAAGUAAUCAGAGCUUAAAUAGGACGAAUGUAAAAUGAAAUAAACCAGUUAACCCGUGUGCAGCUGAUCUUUAAUAAACUGGUGUACCUCAUACAGGGAUUUAGUGUAGUUAUAAUACAGGAAUCUCAUGUACAGCCACAUGUAAAUUAGCAUGCACGCACACUUAUCAACCCACAUUCAUCUGUUUACAUCUUCUACCUCUGACACCAUCAUCCAUAUUUAUCAUGCAUGUUUUAUAUCUGCAUAAUCCUGUGGAUCCCGUGUGGUUCUAUUGUGGGAAUUCAUAAACACUGUUAGUCAAAACAAUGCAACAUCUCGUUUAAGAUGUGACCAUAUGUUAAGCUAGAUAUUUUUCCUGUUACCCUACAUUACCAUAUUUCAAUCUGUAGUCUGGUAGCAGCGGUAAAGUGGCUUAAUUUUUCAUCUGUUUGAAGUUUAAGGAGAAAGAUAUAACAGGUAAUAAAUAUUCCAGAUAUGCACAACUUUUGAAUAACCAAAUCUAAAGUUAACGAGUAUUAAUUAAAGGUGACGAAUAAGGCCACCAAUUCUGCAGUAAGGUAGUACAAGGUGUAAGAUUCUAGUUAAUCGUGCAUUCACUGAUAAUGUUUCCAUAAAAAUGUGAGCUUUCUCCUCCUUCCGCCUUGCGUGACUCUUGUUUGUGACUGACUGUCUGAGCAUAAUUUGUGUUGGGCUCUUUUGCACACAGACCAAGUGUUUCUGUUUCCCUCUGCUUCAGCGCUCGGUAGGAAUGGAUGACAGUGUCUAUAUAAACAACACAGUGGAGUUAUGCACCACAGACUCUUGUCAAGACGCCUUCUUUCCUUUUUUCCACCGCUUUGACUUGUGCUUAAAAUAACUUCUUUUUUUUAAGGCUUCUUCUUUGAUGGAAUAUCUAUUGGCCGUGCUUCACUUAUUGCACUAAUAAGAAAACAGAAAUGAAAAAAAAUCUCUUUAUUAACAUGUGUUGAUAGAUUUUACUCUUAAUGGAAGUGAAUAUCUCUCUAGAAAGAAGCUGUUAAGUGUGUUUUUUAUCAUUGUGCGGGAAAGUUGGCCUCUGGGCAUGAUCUGUCAAAUAAAAUAAGCAGGGGAGCGCAUGGUAGUAAAUGCACAGCUGUGAAGUGACAGUGGAGUUAAAAAUACAAGCAGACACACAGGUCAGCCAUUAGUGAAUGAGAUUCUCAGGAAGUGGGACCUGUUAUUGGUCCUCGCCAUGACUCUCAUGACUCUCAGCAUUUCCAGGCACCUGCACACGAAGGCAGGGUUGUUUUGAUGCAGGAAUGUGGUGCUUUUGUGUUUGAUGCAGCUUUAAUUGUGUUAUCUGUGAUGUAGAAGUCAGGUCCUCCAUCUGUCUUUGAUGCAUGACAUGUUGCUCUUGGGAUAAAGUGUCCUUGUGAUUUCCCUCCCAUUGGACUGAAGUUUGUUUGUGUCCCUGUCACCUUCACAGACAGGACUGCCUUUGCUAUACACACACACACACUUUCCCCUUUAUUGAUCUAGUUAUAUUUACCAGCACCAAGAAGGUGCGAUUUGUUGCAAUUAAGCCUGUGCAAAACCUGUAGCAGUGACUCCUCCUUGAAGGUAUACUUUAUCAUCAAAAAAGCAAUGAUCUCAAUCCUAUCAGACACUCCAAACUGACUGAUUUUUAUCUCCUCUGUCUCAGGGAGAGAUGGAGCGCUACAAACAUUUUCAGGUUAAUACUGAUAACGUUGUUUGGGAUUAUAAAUCAUAAGAGAGGAAAUGUUCCCACUGGUUAAUAGACUUGUAAUGACACUGGAGUUACCUAAUACCCCUGGUAUUCUGCAAGACAACACAUUCAUUAACAAAACUCAUUAUCAGAGGAGAGCUUCCUUUGAGCUUCGAACUUAAGUCCUGGACUAUCAUCAUGUCAGUCAUCUCUUUUUCCUCCAGACAGGUGAAGUCUGUUGCUGAACAGAACUGUCAAAUUCUACGUGUAACAUCUGUCAUCUGACAAAGAACUGUAAAAAACUUAUGAGAAAUUAGAGAAAGUAGAGCUUUUUUCUUUGACAGGCUUAGCCGCUUUGCAAAUAGAUAACUAAUGGGUUUUUCUUCCACUAAAAAUCAACUUUUGUGAAUGUGAUGGACAAGUGUUUACUCUCGGUGGAUUCAUGUGGAGUCUUUCUCAAACAUUGAGACACCUGCAACAGUCUUCACAUGCUCCUUUUGUAUGUUGUACCAAGAUAGGUUAUCAAAAGUUGUUGGUAUUAAGUGUAGCAGCGCCAACAUCAGCACAGGGGGCGUGGUGCGUAACGUGCCAGCGCAGCCAUUUUGCAGACAUAACAACACUAAGCGCAUUGAAAUGAAUGAAAUUAGGAUGAAGGUAGGUUUUUAAAAAAAAUAUUUAUUAGCUGACUACACAGUAAUGGAGAACGGAAUGGAGAGAACAAAACUCAGACUCAACAUACCGUACAGGGACAAGCUGAACAAUGAAGAAAUACAGCGUUACCUUCGCAAAAUUGCAAACAUUGCUGGACUCGACCCAUAUGAGCACACUGUAUGGUCAGAAGUUGAUUUCGACCUCACUACAUGAUAAUUUGUUCAGGGGUGUGUGUGUGUGUGAGAGAGAGAGAGAGAGAAAGGCAGACAUGUUUGCGUGUGAUCACCUGCCAUUGUGCGAACGACGGUUUUGUUGUUGUUGACACUGUGCAUCUGCAGUUUGUGUACCCACCCAGAUGUGAAAAAAACAUGGGCCAAGAGAAACUUUUCAUUAUGGAAGGAAUUAAAUGCAUAACAGCUUGUUCCUUUGAUGAUGCUGAAUCACAUGCACUCGGUUAAGUGGUGGUAGCAUCUCGAAAUCAUCUUCUGACCAUACAGUGUGUUCAUAUGGAUCGAGUCCAGCAAUGUUCGCAAUUUUGCGAUUCGCGUUCAGACUAGGUUCAGAAAUUUUUCCAAAUUGCUCUUAUGAGGUGUUAAAAACUAUCUAUCACCUGACUUUUUUAGUGAAUGGAUAAAAGAAAACUUCAUGGUGUAGCUUUUCUUUUGCCAAUACUUUGUUGUAUCCCCUCCUCAGAAUGUGACACAGCACUUUCUAGUAACCCGAUUAACCCCAGCCAUUUGUGCAUCGCCGUGAACAUUUUCUGAACUGUAAUAGUGCUGUGGGGGUUCUUAAUAGUCUCUAUAUAUCUUCAGGCUCAGUGCUAUAAAAUGGGCGUCCUCCCUAAUGUAAAUACAUUACAGUUCCCAAUCUUACCAAUGAGGUUUCAUCUCUCCAGGAUGCACUGGGUGCAAGUCCUGUAGGACCCAGAUCUACUGGAAAGCAGUGUCUCCAUGCCUUAUUUUUCACGAAGCAAACAGUGCAUUACGGUCCUCCCACUGUGCCCCAGGUUUGAAGCUGCUGUUGUCAUUAAUUGUGGUCUCAGUGUAGUGUUGGUGCGACCCAUUACAAACCCACACCUCCGUCUUUGGCCCUGUGGUGAUGCAUUACUCCACACAUCUCAUUAAUAACCCCACUGCAUAGAGCUUGGUGGAGGAAGAGACGGUGAAAGUGGGCCACAGAAAAUGAUGGAGCCUACAAAAGCUGGUCCAUAUAGGUACAGAGAAGCAAAAGCAAUUAGCUUUUAAGACCACCUGCAUGGACUCAUCACUGGGAUUAUCUUACAGAUGGGUCAAACAUAUCCUUUUAACAGUAUUUUUUUUUCCAGAUGCUGCUGAGAAAUAUUUUUUUAUGAUCUAAUGGGCUGUAUGAAGGUUCUACAUUAACCUUUUAGGGGAGAUGCUGGUGCAAGACUGGCCGAAAGUCUGAAAGCUCAAGUAUAAGCAGCAUCUAGGUCCUUUUGAAAUCUGCAAAGAGAGAAAUAAAACGUGACAAGAAUUGUAUAAGGAAAGACUCUUGUUUUUUUAUGAAGAUAGGCAGAGUAUUCCCAUUUAUGAGAAAACAAGGUCAAAGAUCCCACAUGAAAUCUUUGAAUUACUCUUGCACCAAAAACAUGAGUAAAUUAGUUUGUGACUUUGUAGGUGCAAUGUUCCCUGCUCAAAGAUUUUAGUAAUAUAACAUAAUAUAAAAAUAUAGCAAACUUAACUGCUUUCAGACACAUAAAGGACUUUAUAGCAUAUUGCAUAAAUUGAUGAUUUAUUGGAAAGAAACAGGCGACUUCUUAGUUUUAUCACCCAACCAUCUGUUUUAUAAUUGGGUGGCACUGCCCUUUAACUUUGGCUGGCCUUUCACAAAGCUAUAAUACAGGAGCAGCUUUUUAUGAACUCAGCUGCAUUCAGGAUCUCUGCAUUUAGUUUGAAAGGAUGUGUUUAUGAUUCAUUCACUCUGGCAGAUGACAGGGCUUUUCAAACUGUGUACAGUUUCCCUGAAAUGACACUUGUUUUUGCUUUUUAAAAAAAAAAGGUGUCAAAAAAUAUUGGAUGUUUUUCAAAGUCCCUUUUAUCCUCCUCUGGGUUGUUACUGAAUAGGUCUUUUUUACUUCAUGAUAUUCACUUAUUUAAUUUCAGAUGAAUUAUGUGUACUAUACAUUUAAAAAUAUGUGCAUAAAAAUAGAUUUUAUUGCAAUUGUGACUUUUUAUCUUGGUUUUAUACGUAUUUGUCACCCAGUAAUUUAAGUAAUAUGCUUCUCAAAGCACCUUGUCAAUUCUAGGUUUUUAAGGUGCUAUAUUAAGUUGUCACUUUUUGAUGUAAAUGUCAGUAAAUACUGAACAGAAAGAGUUAACUUAGCAUAUCAGUAUCAGUGCUCAAUUUCAUGUCUAAUUUUACAUUUACACAAAAUUAAAUAAAAUCAAAAGGGUCUUUAUUAUUGUGCAAAGUCCCCGUGCUCAGUUAAUAAUAUGUACUUAAGGCACAGUGAAACAAAUAACAGCCCUGUUAUUGUGCAGUCUUGAAAUGUUCAGAGUAGAAAAGUUCUAAAAAAAUCUCUUUCUUGUGGUUGAUCUGAAAACUAAACCGAACCAUGACCCUUGAACUGUGAGCUGAACUGAACUCAGAGGUUUUUGAUCCAUGAGACUCCUGUGAAACUCAUAUACUCAAACUGUACUGACUCUGCAGUGUGAUUAUUCAUAAUGUGAUGCUCUACUCACACAUAAAUAUAUUCUCCGCUCUAACAGUUCAAGCACAGUCAGAAAGUAGGACAGUAAUGUAAUUUCUGCUGGUUUGGCUACACUCCAGCACAUUAGAUUUCCAACUUCCAAAAUGAAAUCAAACCUUUAUAUUUCACCAUUUGGAUCUAUUACAGCCCCCCUCUUGUCAGUUUGUGGUUGAAAAAGGACAAAGGGGAUCCUUUUUAUUCAUCCAUUGAUUUCUUUGUCCAGCGUUGAAAUCAUUCCCAGAAAAAAACAGUAAGUUGUUUGUAGGAGCUGCUUGUAGGAGCAAAAUAAAGCCUUUAACUUCCCCUCACACCUAUUUAUUUUGGCGGGCAAUCUUCACACAGUAUUGUUCCAUUUUCUUUUCCCAUUUUCUUUAUCUCCACCUACAUCUCUUCAGCGGACUAACCUUUUUCAGUCUAUCCUGAAGUCUUAUCAGCUGCUUUAAAUGAGGCCGGGAGUUUUCUUUGUGCUAAUCGUAGCAUGUGUCACUUUCCUCCAGCAAGACUGGGAAACUCCAUAGCAAAGCAAUUUGGCACACCACAUCCCCCAGAAUGAACAGUGUGUGGAGAGGCACUGCCAGGACUUGAUGGCUUCAUCACUCUGUCACUUGGUGAGAUGCAGAGAUUUCCCCAUUAAUUCAGUUAAUUGUGACAGGGACAGCGUGAUACUCUAAACAGCACUGAAAUACAGUCGAAACCUUUAAAGAUUCAUGUUUGCACCCUAUAAAUCAGGUUUAACUGAGUUUUCUGUGAUAAUGGAUUAAGACAGGUACAUGAGAGUAUGCCCCUCAUUCUUUAAGUCUGAAUAAAUUGUCACUUUCACAAUUUAUUAACAGCUGUUGGUGAAUGAUAUAGCAAUAUAGCAAUAGCAAUCUUUAGUAAAUAUUGUCAUGUCACUUCUUCAAAAGAAGCCUCAUGUGAAGCCCGUGUGAGAAACUUUUGGUUUGCAUGAAUUUUGACACCUCCUGUGGGCAUGCAGUCUUUGCUUAUUGUUUCCUUUACAUGCUUUAGUUGAUUUGUCACUUGUGCAUAAGUAAUGUUUAAUGCCUCAAACCAGCACAACUUCCACGGUCUAAGUUUUAUAUUAACAUAUUAAGCUAACUUUACACUUACUGACUUUAACAUGAAAUAUUUUAAGACUGAAGCUAAAACCUUUUGUGUUUAGGCAAAUUUCACUCUCCUAACAAGCUAAUCAAACAUUUUUAGGAGACAUUUAACUUGAGACAGCACUGGCUGUGUAUUUUCAGGUAUUCAAAUGUAAGUCAAACUGUCAUGGUGUCGUUCAGUUACAAAACCCCAAUUGCUCCUUGCUUCAUAUUUUAAAACUGUGUAUUUUGCCUCACAUGAAAGAAGACUUUUGGGAUGGAGUUUGACAAAUGUCACACUCCUGCUUUGAGUAACUGUAAAAUAGGACACAAAGACAUGUGUGUUUUAACUUAUUUGAACAUGUGAAGAAAUCCAACUCUUGACAUGACAUUAUGCCAAGCAGUGGUCAUAGUAGUACAAUGACUGGGUAAAUUUGUUUUAUCUACUAUUAAAUAGCUGGUUAGAAGUACAUAGAUAGAAAUACAUCCAGCUGAUUGUGGCAGUUUUCAGAAAUUCCCUUUAAAUCAUCUCUUUGUGGACUUCUGAACCUGUGCCACAGUUUGAGAAAAUCUUUAGUCCCUGGUAUGGAAUAUGCAGCUAGACAUUAAAACAAACAAAAAAAAAACAUGGGGCUGAAUUUUUGGGUUUUAACUUCGAAUCGUACGGAUUUAAACUUCUGACUUGCAGUCUUGGGACUCCUCUAUUUGCCCUCUUUUUUACCUCUAGCAUAUAAAACUCCAAGGACACUCCAGAAGUCGUUCCUGCUAUUUGAGUUUAACUUCUGAAGUGCAGACAUCUGGGGAGACUUCCUCAGCAAUACUGAAGAAAGCUCCUGCCUCCCUCCACCCAAGCCUGUAAAGUGCUACCACUUCUAGCUGAUAGUUAGAUCACCACCUAUUGUAAGUGUGAAAGUCCAGACAUGCUGCUCCAUCUGUUGAGAAGGAACAGUGAAUAUUAGCUUGUGUAAGGGUUCUUAUCACUGCUUAAGUCGGCCAAAAAUCCAUGUGUUCGAGGAUGAACCGUGAGGCUGCAAGGAUUAAUGUUCUGCAUCAGUUUGAAAUUGUAUUUGCUUUUCACAUAAAAAAGGAGUCAUAUCAUCAUCCCCUCCAAAAUAAAGCAAAGUCUGACCACUUGAAAUCCAAUAUCUGAGGACCAAACCAUGUUGGCUCUGUUUGUUUGAUUUCGAUGUAUCAUUGGUCAGAAUCAGAUUACAAGUGAAGGCGCCCAUGCAGUCUGGUCUGCCACUGAUCCCUCUAACUUUUCCCGUCUUCCUCAUCCCCAGAGUGUAACUGUCAUCUGUAGCCCAAGCUUAGUUUCGGAGCUGAGAUGAUCUCAUUUUCCCCU
rnacentral:lncRNA from 1 species